rnacentral:misc_RNA from 1 species
UACGUAGGGGGCAAGCGUUGUCCGGAAUAAUUGGGCGUAAAGGGCGCGCAGGCGGUGAUUUAAGUCAGAUGUGAAAGGCUGGGGCUCAACCCCAGAGCUGCAUAUGAAACUGGAUCACUUGAGAGCAGGAGAGGGCAGUGGAAUUCCCGGUGUAUCGGUGGAAUGCGUAGAGAUCGGGAGGAACACCAGUGGCGAAGGCGACUCUCUGGUCUGUAACUGACGCUGAGGCGCGAAAGCGUGGGGAGCAAACAGG